GGAAACGCCCGGUCCCAUUCCGAACCCGGAAGCUAAGCCCACCAGCGCCAAUGGUACUGCACUCUAAUCGGUGUGGGAGAGUAGGACACCGCCGAGC
rnacentral:rRNA from 1 species